rnacentral:tRNA from 1 species
GUUUGUGGCUCAGUGGUUGAGUGCUUGCCUCGCAUGCAUGAAGCACUGGGUUUGAUCCGCAGCAGCACA